GAAACGACUGCUAAGACUGGAUAGGAGAUAAGAAGGCAUCUUCUUAUUUUUAAAAGACCUAGCAAUAGGUAUGCUUAAGGAGGGGCUUGCGUCACAUUAGUUAGUUGGUAGGGUAAAAGCCUACCAAGACGAUGAUGUGUAGCCGGGCUGAGAGGCUGAACGGCCACAUUGGAACUGAGACACGGUCCAAACUCCUACGGGAGGCAGCAGUAGGGAAUUUUCGGCAAUGGAGGAAACUCUGACCGAGCAACGCCGCGUGAACGAUGAAGUAUUUCGGUACGUAAAGUUCUUUUAUUAGGGAAGAAAAGAUGGUGGAAAAACCAUUAUGACGGUACUUAAUGAAUAAGCCCCGGCUAACUAUGUGCCAGCAGCCGCGGUAAUACAUAGGGGGCGAGCGUUAUCCGGAAUUAUUGGGCGUAAAGGGUGCGUAGGCGGUUUAAUAAGUUUAUGGUCUAAGUGCAAUGCUUAACAUUGUGAUGCUAUAAAAACUGUUUGACUAGAGUUGGAUAGAGGCAAGUGGAAUUCCAUGUGUAGCGGUAAAAUGCGUAAAUAUAUGGAGGAACACCAUGAGCGAAGGCGGCUUGCUGGGUCUUAACUGACGCUGAGGCACGAAAGCGUGGGGAGCAAACAGGAUUAGAUACCCUGGUAGUCCACGCCGUAAACGAUGAGUACUAGAUGUUGGGUUAAACCAGUGUCGAAGUUAACACAUUAAGUACUCCGCCUGAGUAGUACGUACGCAAGUAUGAAACUUAAAGGAAUUGACGGGACUCCGCACAAGCGGUGGAUCAUGUUGUUUAAUUCGAAGGUACCCGAAAAACCUCACCAGGUCUUGACAUGCUUCUGCAAAGUUGUAGAAAUACAGUGGAGGUUAUCAGUUGCACAGGUGGUGCAUGGUUGUCGUCAGCUCGUGUCGUGAGAUGUUGGGUUAAGUCCCGCAACGAGCGCAACCCUCGUUGUUAAUUGCCAUCAUUAAGUUGGGGACUUUAGCAAGACUGUCAGUGAUAAAUUGGAGGAAGGUGGGGACGACGUCAAAUCAUCAUGCCCCUUAUGACCUGGGCUACAAACGUGAUACAAUGGCUGUUACAAAGGGUAGCUGAAGCGCAAGCUUUUGGCAAAUCUCAAAAAAACAGUCUCAGUUCGGAUUGAAGUCUGCAACUCGACUUCAUGAAGUUGGAAUCGCUAGUAAUCGCGAAUCAGCAUGUCGCGGUGAAUACGUUCUCGGGGUUUGUACACACCGCCCGUCA
rnacentral:rRNA from 1 species